AGUGGAUGCUUCCUGACCAAAGCCCGGAGUACCAAGCCCGAGCAGCUUUCCAAAGUGUGACCAGGAAGCCGAUGCAUAGGAGGGCGUCGAUUGCCCCCUGAAUCAUCAUGAGAGCCUUGUAGCUCUCAAGGUGGUCAACUGGGUCGGUGGAACCAUCGUAGGGCUCCAUGUGCAGCAUCAUGAAUCGACUCGGGAUCAAUUCAUCCAAGAUAAGUUGGGAGAG
rnacentral:lncRNA from 1 species